rnacentral:misc_RNA from 1 species
GUUUAUGCAUGGUAUGGAGCUUCUGCAAAAACUUUGGCCGGAAUUUUGGCUCAUGGAUUUGGGGAGCCAGUUCAGAUUCCUUCCUCUGAUACCACCCAUGGCAUUGGAGUUUAUUUGUCUCCAUUGGGAUUGCCAUAUUUAAGUUCUAAGCUAUUGGAGGCCGAUGACAAUGGAGUUAAACAUAUGGUUUUAUGUCGAGUUAUAUUGGGUAAAAUUGAAAAAGUUGAAGCAGGAUCUCAACAAUCUCAUCCUUCGAGUACAGAGUUCGACACUGGCGUGGAUGAUCCAACAUUUCCAACGCGGUAUAUUGUAUGGUGUAGCAAUAUGAACAGACACAUUUUACCAGAAUACAUAGUGAGCUUUAAAUCAACAAAUUGUUUGCCGGGUAAGUUGAGAGAAUCGACUGAUACAAAGUAUUCCCUUGUGAAACUACUUUCGAAGAUGAGGAAUUCCCUGCCUACUUCUAAAGUUCAAGAGGUUGCAGUAUUGUUUCAGAAAUUUAAGGUUGGAGAAUUGGCAAAAGAUGUUCUUGUUAAAAGGUUACGAUCAAUUGCUGGAGAUGAGAUGCUUCUAUCCAUGAUUCGUGAAAUUCGUGGAUGUCAAUGAGGUUCUUCCAAGUUUUAUUUGGAAGCAUUUGGAAUUUCAAUAAUUGUGCUUUACCAUUUCGUAGAACAAGUUGUCGGAUCACAGAUGUUACCAUACAAGUAGUUUUAGCAAAGAAAGCUCAAUAUACAGUAGAAAGAUUAGAAAAACAUUUGUAAUUCUUCCUUAAA